GAACUGAGUGGGGUUUCUAAGAAGACACUCUUAUGUUAGGAAGACUUCUAAGAAAGACUCUCUCCUGGCUUUGAUGAAGCAAGCUGCUGUAUUGGGGAGGCCUAGAGGACAAGGAAUUAAGGGGUGGCCUCUAGCCAUCAGCCUGCAAGGAAUCCAGGACCUCAGUCUAACAUGCCUUAAGGAACUGAAUCCUAACAACAAAUAUAUGAAUGAGCACACAAGUGGGUUCUUCCCCAGUCAAGCCUUCACAUGAAACUGCAGCCAGCCCCAGCUGACACCAAAAUUGCUGCCUUGUAAGAGAACUUGAAGCAGAGAACUCAGGCAAAAAAUCUGUGAUCUUCUGCACAUUGGACCAUGUUAACAUUCCAAACAGGAUUUUACAAAUUACUGGAGGAGGUCACACUCAACCCCAAAAAAGAAGAAAAUAUUUUUUAAA